UUGAUAUCCUAAGAACCUUUUAGAGAUAAGAGGGUGCUAGCUUGCUAGAACUUAGAGACAGGUGCUGCACGGCUGUCGUCAGCUCGUGUCGUGAGAUGUUGGGUUAAGUCCCGCAACGAGCGCAACCCACGUAUUUAGUUGCUAACGGUUCGGCCGAGCACUCUAAAUAGACUGCCUUCGUAAGGAGGAGGAAGGUGUGGACGACGUCAAGUCAUCAUGGCCCUUAUGCCCAGGGCGACACACGUGCUACAAUGGCAUAUACAAUGAGACGCAAUACCGCGAGGUGGAGCAAAUCUAUAAAAUAUGUCCCAGUUCGGAUUGUUCUCUGCAACUCGAGAGCAUGAAGCCGGAAUCGCUAGUAAUCGUAGAUCAGCCAUGCUACGGUGAAUACGUUCCCGGGUCUUGUACUCACCGCCCGUCACACCAUGGGAGUUGAUUU
rnacentral:rRNA from 1 species